GUAGGUGGCAAGCGUUGUCCGGAAUUAUUGGGCGUAAAGCGCGCGCAGGCGGUUCUUUAAGUCUGAUGUGAAAGCCCACGGCUCAACCGUGGAGGGUCAUUGGAAACUGAGAACUUGAGUACAGAAGAGGAAAGCGGAAUUCCACGUGUAGCGGUGAAAUGCGUAGAGAUGUGGAGGAACACCAGUGGCGAAGGCGGCUUUCUGGUCUGUAACUGACGCUGAGGCGCGAAAGCGUGGGGAGCAAACAGGGAUUAGAUACCCUGGUAGUCCACGCCGUAAACGAUGAGUGCUAAUGUUAGGGGGUUUCCCGCCCCCUUAGUGCUGCAGCUAACGCAUUAAGCACUCCGCCUGGGGAGUACGGCCCGCAAGGCUG
rnacentral:rRNA from 1 species